UGGGCUAUCGCCAAGCGGUAAGGCAACGGCCUUUGACGCCGUCAUUCGUAGGUUCGAAUCCUACUAGCCCAGCUA
rnacentral:tRNA from 1 species